UGAGGAAUAUUGGUCAAUGGGCGCAAGCCUGAACCAGCCAUCCCGCGUGAAGGAAGAAGGCGCUAUGCGUUGUAAACUUCUUUUCCAGGGGGUGAAUUUUCCGGUCGUGACCGGGAUUGACGGUACCCUGGGAAUAAGCAUCGGCUAACUCCGUGCCAGCAGCCGCGGUAAUACGGAGGAUGCAAGCGUUAUCCGGAUUUAUUGGGUUUAAAGGGUGCGUAGGCGGAUCAAUAAGUCAGUGGUGAAAACCUGCAGCUUAACUGUAGAUGUGCCGUUGAUACUGUUGGUCUUGAGUAUGGUCAAGGUAGGCGGAAUGUGUAAUGUAGCGGUGAAAUGCUUAGAUAUUACACAGAACACCGAUUGCGAAGGCAGCUUGCUGGGCCAUUACUGACGCUGAUGCACGAAAGCGUGGGGAUCGAACAGG
rnacentral:rRNA from 1 species